ensembl:miRNA
GAUAGUACUAGUUUGGUGCAAAAAUAAUUGUGGUUUUAUCAUUGCUUUUAAUGGCAAAAACUGCAAUUACUUUUGCACCAACCUAAUAUAUU